UAAGACAUAUUACAAGAAGCAUACAAAACUUUUUUUUAUUACUACCAUUUUUAAUAGUGUGCAUUUUUAUUACGUUGUGAUAACAAACGUAUUUACAAAAAUACCAUUAAUUUUUAAUGUCACUUAAGCAAAAAACCGGUGCCACAUAUGAAUGUGUUGACAUGUAUUAAUGAACUCAGUCGUAAAGCGUUACAAACUUCAUUACGGCUGAGUUAUAGUUACUUUGCGGCUGAGUUAAACAACGCGGUUGACUUAUGUGAAAUUGGCAGACUUACGAACAUAAGUCAGUCGUUAGUGAUGGCUGAUUUACAGAUUUCAUGCUGAUUUAUGGGAUAAUGGUUAACUUACGAACACAAGUUACGACUAACUUAUACAUCGGCGGGCUGAUUUCUCAAAAAAUCGGCUGAGUUAUAGUUAAGACAUUGUUGAGUUAUGUUUCGCCGGCUGAGUUAAGUAUCAUCGCCUAGCUGAGUUACUAAAUUUACGGCUGACUUAUGGGAGGUUGUUACGACUUAUAUGUUUGAUGACUCAGACGGUGUGUCAUGUGAAUAAGAUAACUUUAGUUCAUACAGUGAGUCUCCAACACAUACUUAUGGCUGAAUUAUGCAUACGUUACGACUAAGUUAUGCAUAUGUUACGGCUGAGUUUACCUCUAAACUAUAAACCUAAACUUUAAACUUUAAAUAAUAAAAAGUAGUAGAUCUAAUGUUUAAAAUAUAAAUUUUAUAAUUUUUAUAACUUUAUAGUUUUAUAGUUUUAAUAUUGUGUUCAGAGUUGAAGGUAAAUUGUUGUUUAUCUUGAAGGAACGUUACGACUUGCUUAUAGAAACGUUACGGCUGACUUACACCAUUCAGAUAAGUUACGACUGAGUUAUGCAUAAGUAAGCCGUAAUGUUCAUGUAAGUCAGAACACAAUGUGUCCGUCCAAAAUAUGAAACGUCGCGAACCAAAAAUUACAUAUGGCGACUGACUUAUAGUUACAUUACGGCUGACUUAUACCAUUCAGUUACAUUACGGCUGAGUUAUGCAUACUUUACGGCUGAGUUAUGCAUACAUUACGACUGAUUUUAAAUAUAAACUCUAAACCUAUCUUAAACUUUAAAAUAAUUAAAAAAUAUUAGAUUUAAUGUUCAAAAGAUAAACAUAUUAGAUUUAGUGUUCAUACGUUACGACUGAGUAAUAAUGAAAUUACGGUUGAGUUAUGCACACAUUAUUGUUGAGUUAUGGUUACGAUACGACUUUGUUAUAAUCAAAUGAUGAGUUAUUGUUACAAUACAACUUUGUUAUAACAAUGUUCCCGCCCAGAAUACGAAACAUCGCGAAACAAACUACACUUGACGACUUACUUAUAGGAACGUUACAGCUGACUUAUACCAUUCAGAUAUGUUCCGGUUGAGUUAUGCAUACUUUACGGCUCAGUUAUGCAUACGUUACGACUGAGUUAUAAUCAAAUUACGGCUAAAUUAUGCAUACAUUAUGGAUGAAUUAUGGUUACAAUACGGCUUUGUUAUAACCAAGUCGACCAAAAAAAACUUCUAACCGGCUCAAGAUUCAUCAUCCAAAGUUAAAUUGAAUUUAGAAACCUAAAGAGAAACUAAAAAGAUAGUCUAUAUAUUAGGAAUCAAUAGAUAAAUCAGGCGCAUAAACAACAUAGAUGUAAAAACUCAAAUCUGAGAUAGGUCUAUUGCAGUGGUUGUCGUCUUCGAUCGUUGUUGGUUAGAGUAGAAGCUUUCUCUCCUCCAGUGUCAUGUAUGGUGAUUCAACAUCCUGAUGCUCCUUCUCUCAUCGGAUUCGUCGUUUUGCAGAUGAAAAAAUGAGUUAGAGAGAGAGAUGAAGAGGCUAAGUCAUGUCAAUUGUAAGAAAAUGAGAGAAUGAUUAUUGGCCUUUAGAUUUCAUUUAAUCAAUGACCAAAAAGAAAGAUUAAACAAUGAGAAAAAAGGUGAGGAUAAACAAAAAGAUAAUUUUGAACCCUAAAUUAAAAUCAAUCAAUGGUCAUGAAAAAAACAAUAUAAAUUGUAAUUUUAGUUAUUUUCAAUUUUUUUUAAAAAAAUUGCUUAAAUUUAAAGAAUAUAGUUACAUGUUUAAAUCAAAAUUUAAAAUAUAAUUUAAAAAUUAAAGAUUAAUAGUUUUAAAAAAAUUAUUAAAAUUUGAAUUUAACUCUAAACUAUAAACCUAAACUUUAAAAUUUAAAUAAUAAUAAAUAUCAGAUUUAAUGUUCAAAGAUAAAAUUUAUACUUUUUAUAACUUUAUAAUUCUAUAGUUUAGGUUUAGUGCGUCGCCACUUUCUAUGGAUGAAGAAAAAAAAGGGCUUUGGAAGAAGAGAAACUACCAUAGGAGCACUAACUGAUCUAGAAUGUAAUUAGAAACAUAGAAAGUGACUAUGAAUGUAAAUGUUUCUUAUAUAAAUAAUGUCUUGCUACAGUUUUAUGAUUUAUCUUUUAAUAAUGUCCUACUAGUUGUAUGUGUUCUACUAGUUGUUAAUAUAUUUAUUCAUUCCUGCUACAGUUUUAUGAUUUAUCUUUUAAUAAUGUCCUAUUAUACUUUGCAAAUAUAUUUUUUACGUUGACAUCACCCUAAACUAACAACUAGUAAAGAUUGGAUCAUCAACUAAUUUUAUUCGUACAAGAAAUGAAAUAAAUUACAGUUCAAGGGCUUGCCCGCGGGCCUGAUCUGAAAAGGCCCACUAUGGGGCGGGAUUGGGCAAAAAUAUUGUGGCCCGUUUAGUUGCGGGUCUCGCGGGACAGGACCGCGGCGGUACUGGACCGAAGCGGGACGGGCCGAAACGGGAUGCGGGCAAACAUUGAGGCCCGCUACACUUUUCUCACCGAGAACAGAGCUAAACGGUGAUCGGGUGAUGACUAUGGCCUUUGGCCAUUCUUGCUCUCUGUGUUUCUUCCCUUUCGAUCGACAAUCACAAGCUCUUGUACACAACUCAUCUUUUUUGCAUGCAAUCAAAGACUCGCCUUCUUCUUCUCUUCUCUUUUCUUUUCGUAUCUUCAUCUCUUUCCGUCUCUUCACUCUUUCUUCUUCGAUCAACGACCACAUAGCAUCUUCUUCUUCUCCUCUACACAGUAGAGCGUCGACGACCAUGUGCAGAGCUCCAUCAGGUUGUGGGCUGUAAGUGACGAAGUUCUAAGUCACGACUCUUCACCAAGGUGGUUUGUUUGGUACAGUGGAGUACCAGCUUCACAGCAGAACCUUGAAGACACUGGUGAAAUUUGUGCAGAUUCAAGAUAUCAUUUUGAUCAUGGAAGUGGUUCUCAGAUGACGUGUGAUUCACGAAACCAUUCGAGGUCCUUUGUAGUCAUAAGCUAUAGUUAAGAGUUCCUUUGUUCUUGGUCCCACGAGACAUGACUGUUGGACACUUCAUUCACAUGCUAAGCAAUAGACUACACCGAACUACAUCCAAAGCUCUGUUUGUUUUAGUACAGAACACACUUCCUCAACAGGUACCUAAUUAUCCAGCAUCCAUGUUCAAAAAAUCUAUUAAUAAUGCAUUUACUCUUAUCUUUGUUCUCUACAGCUGCUCCAAUGGACUCUUUGAACAAUACUGCCGUCUCCAAGCCCAGCUUCAAAAGCAGAGGAGAUGAGAGCAUGCUUAAGAUCACUAAGACGAAACCACAAGUAAGAAAAACGUUUUAUUUUUAAGAGCUUAGAUAUGAGGUUAGUUUAAUAGAACUUGAAUUGUUAUUGCUUAGUUUGAUAGGUAGUGAUUCUAGUGAACACGUAUUGCUCAGUCUGAUAAACUUUGAAUUGUUAGCCUUUAAGUUGAACUUAUGAAUGAUAUUACUUGAUCCCAUCAAGAUGAUCGUUUAGACAUAGGAUUAAAAUUUUCUUAUAAUGCUUGAGUCCCUGACCAAUGACGAAUAAGGAAAUCAUUGUAUAAUUUUAAAAAUUACAUAAAAAUAUUAAACAAAAAAUACCCUAGCGAGUUUAUUAAACUCACGGAGCCAUCUCUUUCACGACUAGACAUAUCGUGAGCCAAAAAAAAAAACCUAAACCGUAACAAGAAGAGAG